rnacentral:rRNA from 1 species
GACGAACGCUGGCGGCGUGCUUAACACAUGCAAGUCGAACGGAAAGGCCCUGCUUUUGUGGGGUGCUCGAGUGGCGAACGGGUGAGUAACACGUGAGUAACCUGCCCUUGACUUUGGGAUAACUUCAGGAAACUGGGGCUAAUACCGGAUAGGAGCUCCUGCUGCAUGGUGGGGGUUGGAAAGUUUCGGCGGGUGGGGAUGGACUCGCGGCUUAUCAGCUUGUUGGUGGGGUAGUGGCUUACCAAGGCUUUGACGGGUAGCCGGCCUGAGAGGGUGACCGGCCACAUGGGUCCUGCGAGACGGCCCAGACUCCUACGGGAGGCAGCAGUGGCGAAUAUUGCACAAUGGGCGGGAGCCUGAUGAGGCAACGCCGCGUGCGGGAUGACGGCCUUCGGGUUGUAAACCGCUUUCGCCUGUGACGAAGCGUGAGUGACGGUAAUGGGUAAAGAAGCACCGGCUAACUACGUG